UAGGGAAUCUUCCGCAAUGGACGAAAGUCUGACGGAGCAACGCCGCGUGAGUGAAGAAGGAUUUCGGUUCGUAAAACUCCGUUGUCAGGGAAGAAAAAAUGUAUAGUAACUAUAUACAAAAGAGACGGUACCUAACCAGAAAGCCACGGCUAACUACGUGCCAGCAGCCGCGGUAAUACGUAGGUGGCAAGCGUUGUCCGGAAUUAUUGGGCGUAAAGCGCGCGCAGGUGGUUUAGAAAGUCUGAUGUGAAAGCCCACGGCUCAACCGUGGAGGGUCAUUGGAAACUAAUAAACUUGAGUGCAGGAGAGAAAAGUGGAAUUCCUAGUGUAGCGGUGAAAUGCGUAGAGAUUAGGAGGAACACCGGUGGCGAAGGCGGCUUUUUGGCCUGCAACUGACACUGAGGCGCGAAAGCGUGGGGAGCAAACGGG
rnacentral:rRNA from 1 species